rnacentral:lncRNA from 1 species
GUCCUAUUUGACUUGGUCUCUAUCUAGAUUAUUUUUGAGAGAGUCUAACAUUUAUCCGAAGGUUAUUGGAUUUGUUAUGUUUAUUUUCAACAGAAAAUCAUUGGAACGUUGCAUUUUUAUUUUCAACGUAAAUUUUUAUGAAGCAACGGUAAUAUAUUUUCUGGUCUAUAAAAGGAACUAAGAUCAGUAUUGAAAACAACACUUACAACACUUAAAUUAAUAUUUUUGCACUCAUAUACUUUGGAAGCUAUUCUAUUCUUGGUGCAAAUUUUGAGCUGCUGAUCAAUUGAUAUUUUCAGUUAACUUUCAUGAGCUUCAUAUUGGUGAUAUCUAUCUUUUAUUACUUGAUCAUUGCAUUCACUAGUUGAGCCUUGCAUUGUUAAAUUGCUUAUUUGCUUUGAUCAUUAGACCUCUAUUAUUGUAAUCUUAAUUUGUUUUUAGACUAAGUGUUGUCUAAGGGAACAUAAUCCAGGUGGAUUAAGGUUUGUUUACAAACAGGUUCAAGGAAGCAUAG